rnacentral:rRNA from 1 species
AGAAUCAACGCUGGCGGCGUGCCUCAGACAUGCAAGUCGAACGAUUAAAGCUCUCUUCGGAGAGUGUAUAGAGUGGCGCACGGGUGAGUAACACGUAAGUAAUCUACCUUCGAGUGGGGGAAUAACCCGGGGGAAACCCGAGCUAAUACCGCAUAAUGCAGCGGCAUCUAAUGAUGACAGUUGUUAAAGAUUUAUCGCUUGAAGAGGAGCUUGCGGCAGAUUAGCUAGUUGGUAAGGUAAUGGCUUACCAAGGCUACGAUCUGUAACCGGUCUAAGAGGACGGUCGGUCACACUGACACUGAAUAACGGGUACAGGACUCCUACGGGAGGCAGCAGGUCGGGAAUUUUGGGACAUAGGGCGAAAGCCUGACCCAGCCAACGCCGCGUGAAGGAGUGAAGUAGUU